rnacentral:rRNA from 1 species
GACGAACGCUGGCGGCGUGCCUAAUACAUGCAAGUCGAACGCAUUUUCUUUCACCGUAGCUUGCUACACCGAAAGAAAAUGAGUGGCGAACGGGUGAGUAACACGUGGGUAACCUGCCCAUCAGCGGGGGAUAACACUUGGAAACAGGUGCUAAUACCGCAUAAUUCCAUUUACCGCAUGGUAGAUGGAUGAAAGGCGCUUUUGCGUCACUGAUGGAUGGACCCGCGGUGCAUUAGCUAGUUGGUGGGGUAACGGCCUACCAAGGCGACGAUGCGUAGCCGACCUGAGAGGGUGAUCGGCCACAUUGGGACUGAGACACGGCCCAG